rnacentral:rRNA from 1 species
GACGAGCCACACAAACGUUAUUCGGAAUCACUGGGCUUAAAGGGUGCGUAGGCUGCGCGGAAAGUGGGGUGUGAAAGCCCUCGGCUCAACCGAGGAAUGGCGCUCCAAACUACCGUGCUCGAGGAAGACAGAGGUAAGCGGAACUGAGGGUGGAGCGGUGAAAUGCGUUGAUAUCCUCAGGAACACCGGUGGCGAAAGCGGCUUACUGGGUCUUUUCUGACGCUGAGGCACGAAAGCUAGGGUAGCAAACGGGGAUUAG